GGAAAGGCCAGAUGCAGUGGACGCCCUGUAGAGGACGUGGUAGCCUUCGUAUGGAGGGAGGCUACCUGAGUGCAGGAAACAAACACGUCUUGACUGUAACCUCAGCAUUUAGCUGGGAUGCGCCCAGGAUGCCAGUGUUCCCCAGGAACUCCGUUUGAAAACCACUGAACUAGAGUUUGGAAGUUAAAAGACCUCCAUCUGAGAGCCCAGGUGAUUCUGCAAAGCACAGAACAUCCAUCACCAGAGUCAUUGGUCACUUCAUCCCAGAGGAGGGUGACACGGCCUUCAAGGUCCAUCAUGAUCUGGUUCCAACCUACCUUUCUAAUCAUAUUUCUCGCUGUCUCUUCUCCAUUUACCAUGUAGUCUAGACGAACUGGGUUACUCAUCCUUCCCCAAAGAUGCCCCAUGAUUUUCUGCCUUUGUUCACACUGUCCUCACCACUAGAAUGUCCUCUGCCGCUCAGAGUCCUGUUCGUGCUUCCGAGUUCACCCAGUGACCACCUCCUCCAAGAAGGCAUCCCAGAUCUUUCUGUCAUCGGUCUGUCUGUCUGUCUGUCUAGCUAUCACCUCUGUAUCUCUCUAUUUAAUAUAAGUGAUUUUUACAUUUUUCUGUGGGUGGUAGCUGGACAUGUUAUUAGAAUCGUCAGGUAUAGAAUGUAACUCAGUUAGGGAUGCAGCCCCCCACUCUCCAACUCGUGUCUGACAGUAUCCCUCUGAAGGGGCUCAGUGG